rnacentral:rRNA from 1 species
GCUGCAUGGCUGUCGUCAGCUCGUGUCGUGAGAUGUUGGUUAAGUCCCGCAACGACGCGCAACCCUUAUCCCUAGUUGCCAUCAGGUAAAGCUGGGAACUCUGGGGAGACUGCCGGUGAUAAACCGGAGGAAGGCGGGGAUGACGUCAAGUCCUCAUGGCCUUACAUCCCGGGCUACACACGUGCUACAAUGGCAGGUACAGAGGGCUGCGAAGCCGCGAGGUGGAGCGAAUCCCAGAAAACCUGUCUCAGUCCGGAUUGAAGUCUGCAACUCGACUUCAUGAAGGCGGAAUCGCUAGUAACCGCGAAUCAGCAGGUCGCGGUGAAUACGUUCCCGGGCCUU